rnacentral:rRNA from 1 species
UACGUAGGGGGCAAGCGUUGUCCGGAUUCAUUGGGCGUAAAGAGCUCGUAGGCGGUUCAGUAAGUCGGGUGUGAAAUCUCCGUGCUCAACACGGAGCGGCCACCUGAUACUGCUGUGACUCGAGUCCGGUAGGGGAGUGUGGAAUUCCCGGUGUAGCGGUGAAAUGCGCAGAUAUCGGGAGGAACACCAGUAGCGAAGGCGGCACUCUGGGCCGUGAUUGACGCUGAGGAGCGAAAGCGUGGGUAGCAAACAGG